CGGGUAGGAGUAAUGCGUGACCAACCUGCCCCAUGCUCCAGAAUAGCUCUUGGAAACGGGUGGUAAUGCUGGAUGCUCCAACUUGACGCAUGUCUUGUUGGGAAAGUGUUUAGUGGCAUGGGAUGGGGUCGCGUCCUAUCAGCUUGUAGGCGGGGUAAUGGCCCACCUAGGCUUCGACGGGUAGCCGGCCUGAGAGGGCGGACGGCCACAUUGGGACUGAGAUACGGCCCAGACUCCUACGGGAGGCAGCAGCA
rnacentral:rRNA from 1 species